rnacentral:rRNA from 1 species
AACGAACGCUGGCGGCAGGCCUAACACAUGCAAGUCGAACGCCCCGCAAGGGGAGUGGCAGACGGGUGAGUAACGCGUGGGAACCUUCCCAAUGGUACGGAAUAGCUCAGGGAAACUUGGGGUAAUACCGUAUAUUCCCGUGAGGGGAAAGAUUUAUCGCCAUUGGAUGGGCCCGCGUCGGAUUAGCUAGUUGGUGAGGUAACGGCUCACCAAGGCGACGAUCCGUAGCUGGUUUGAGAGAAUGACCAGCCACACUGGGACUGAGACACGGCCCAGACUCCUACGGGAGGCAGCAGUGGGGAAUAUUGGACAAUGGGCGCAAGCCUGAUCCAGCCAUGCCGCGUGAGUGACGAAGGCCUUAGGGUUGUAAAGCUCUUUUGCCGGGGAAGAUAAUGACGGUACCCGGAGAAUAAGUCCCGGCUAACUUCGUGCCAGCCGCCGCGGUAACAC